rnacentral:tRNA from 1 species
GGCGGUGUUCGCACCGUCCCACCACUUCUGCGGUGAGCUUUGGAAGCUCGCGGGUUUCAUACGCCCGCCGAUGCCGGUUCGAUUCCGGCCACCGCUUCCA